GACGAACGCUGGCGGCGUGCUUAACACAUGCAAGUCGAACGGACAGGCCCUGCUUUUGUGGGGUUCUCGAUUGGCGAACGGGUGAGUGACACGUGUGUAACCUGCCCUUGACUUUCUGAUAACUUCAGGGAACUGCGGAUAAUACCCCAUAGGACCUCCUGCUGCAUGGUGUUGAUUGGAAAAUUGCGGCGGUUCGGGAUGGAUUCGCGGCUUAUCCGCUUGUUGGGGGGGUAGUGGCUUACCAAGGCUUUGACGGGUAGCCGGCCUGAGAGGGGGACCGGGGACAAUGGGACUGAGAGACGGAGCAGACGCCUACGGGAGGCAGCAGGGGGGAAUAUGGCAGAAUGGGCGGAAGCCUGAGGCAGCAACGCUGGGUGCGGGAUGACGUGCUUUGGGGGGAAAACCGCUGUCGCAUGAGACGAAGCGGGAGUGACGGUAAUGGGUAAAGAAGCAACGGCUAACUACGUG
rnacentral:rRNA from 1 species